GCGGGUGUAGUUUAAUGGUAGAACAUCAGCUUCCCAAGCUGAGAGCGCGAGUUCGAUUCUCGUCACCCGCUCUA
rnacentral:tRNA from 1 species